rnacentral:rRNA from 1 species
UACGUAGGGACCAAGCGUUGUCCGGAAUCAUUGGGCGUAAAGAGCGUGUAGGCGGCUUGUUAAGUCUUGCGUGAAAUCUCGGGGCUCAACCCCGAGCGGUCGUGAGAAACUGGCAGGCUAGAGUGCGGGAGAGGAGAGUGGAAUUCCUGGUGUAGCGGUGAAAUGCGCAGAUAAUCAGGAGGAACACCUGUGGUGUAGACAGCUUACUGGACCACUUCUGACGCUGAGACACGAAAGCGUGGGUAGCAAACAGG